CAUUCUUUUACCUUCCUAGAGAGAGAGAGAGGUCCGAUUGAUUUUCUGGAUUUCAAAGCCCUAAUUUUUUGGAACAUUCAUGGCUCAUCAUUCAUCAUCACCACUCAUCUUUAAACUCAUCAUCAUCACCAUCGCCUUUACUCUCAUCCCAAUCUCAUCAUCCCUUCCCUUCAUCUUCCCCACGACAAUCAAUAUAUAUAUAUAUAUAUAUAAUUUUUCAUUUGGAUAGUGUUGUUAUGUAAUUCAAUUGAUCUAUUGAUGAGCUGAUGCGUCUAUCUUAAGCUCAUGGUUUAUUAGUAAUUGAUUUUUCUCAAUUUUUGUAUAUAAUAGUUCAUCAAUUUCAUGUGUGUAUUCAAAGUGAUUGUAUAAUCCAGUUUCGAUUGCGCAACUUCGUACCACCUCACAAGGUAUGUCAUUCACUUUCUCUCCCAAUCGAUCAAUUUCUCUUUGUCUCUCGAUCAUUUUUUCCCAAAAACUUUGAAUUCAUCAUUUGAUAUGAAGUCUAUUCUCGAAGACGACAACGAAAAUUUGAAUGUCAAGGCCAUCGAUCGAGCCACUCAAACUCUAUGUGCAUUGAAGGACUUGAAGUCCAAGAAAUCAAUCUCUUUGAAACUGCGCAAAAACUUGGCUUGUCCUAAGGAGUUUCAUUGCCCUCUUUCCAAGGAGCUCAUGAGAGAUCCUGUUAUUGUCGCCUCUGGUUUGUUAUUUUACUUGUAGCAAAACAAUGCCUAGCUCACUUGGUCAUGAAGAACAAGAUGCCAAAACCUUUGCUUCGUGGGUAUGAUUUUAGGAAUUAUGUUUAUGAUGCCAAAACCUUUGCUUCGUGAGUAUGAUCAAGCAACGAAUUAACACACGUUUCUUCGUAGGGUAUUGAUUAUUUGAAGUAUGAUAACUGUAACACCAAUGGUACAAGAUUGUUACUGUCAUUACAGUUCAACAUCAUCAAUUUAUUAUGUGAAUUUCUGUUUAAAUUACCAAAUAUCUCACUACAAAUUAUUUUGCAUUUCUCUUCCUCAUGUAGAUACCCUGUAAUGGCCUGAGCUUUAAUGAAGGCAGGCUGUCCUAUCUUCUUCUGGCUAUAUGAAUGGUGAUCCUGGUUUUUCUUUGACUAUGUGUUUUUACUGCUCUUUAAUAAAUUCAGUUUUAAACUCAUUUUGACAUAAUUUUCCGUCUAUAUUGUAUGUGUUUAUUAUGGGAGACCUGCACCCAGCUUUAUAGGGUGCUGAGGUUAGAAAUACUUGGAGAACUACUAAUGAUAUUUCUGAUACAUAAGAACUCAGGCCCUGCGAUAUUUACAUCGGCGACUCCUUCUGCCUGUUUGUUGAUGGGAGUUCAAAUCGUCCAGAAGCGGGGGCAGGAGUAGUGCUAGUAUCACCAGAUGGGCGGAUGCUGGAACAAUCUAUUCGUUUGGGGUUUAAACCCUCAAACAACGAAGCAAAAUAUGAAACACUAAUCGCACGAUUGAAGUUGACAGCAGCAAUGGAAACUGACGAGGUGGUGGUCUUCUGUGACUCCCAGCUUAUCGUUAACCAGGCAACAGGCGAAUACGCAGCCUGAGAUGAAAGAAUGAUGGCCUAUGUAAAGGAAGUUGUCAAACUGGUAGCCUUAUUCCAAGAUUGCCAACUAUAGCAAAUUAGCCGAGAUGACAACAACCAUUCUGAUGCCUUGGCUAACCUGGCUAGUGCAAUGAAAUUAAGAGAGGCAAGGACAAUAAUGAUUGACUAUUUGCCAGGCCCAAGUAUAGAACCAUUGAAUACAAAGUAUGAAACAAUAUGUAUGGAAAUGGGACCAAGUUGGAUGGAUGCGAUAGUAGUAUUCCUUAGAGAUGGGAAACUACCAGAUAAUCACAAAGAAGCACACAAGAUCAGACUGAUGUCGGCAAGGUUCAAUCUGACAACAGAAGGACAUCUUUACAGAAAGUCUUUUACUGGUCCCCUUUUGAGAUUUGUGCAUCCUUCACAAGUUGAAGACUUCCUGUAUGAAAUGCACGAAGGAGUAUAUGGAAGCCACGCUGGGGGUAAGUCACUUGCUCAUAAAGCCAUUACUAAGGGGUACUGGUGGCCCUAUAUGCAGAAAGAUACUGAAACUUAUGCCAGAAAGUGUAAGAAGUGCCAAAGGUUUGCACCUUUGAUACAUCAACCAGCAGCAGAUUUAAACCCAGUGUCCAGCCCAUGGCCAUUCGCCUAGUGGUGCAUGGAUCUUGUUGGACAACUGCCUCAAGCGACUGGAAAAGGCAGUUCCUACUGGUAGCAACUGAUUAUUUCACAAAGUGGCUAGAAGCAGAAUC